UACGUAGGGAGCAAGCGUUGUCCGGAAUCAUUGGGCGUAAAGCGCGCGUAGGUGGCCAUGUAAGUCCGCUGUGAAAGUCAAAGGCUCAACCUUUGAAAGCCGGUGGAUACUGCAUGGCUAGAGUACGGAAGAGGCGAGUGGAAUUCCUGGUGUAGCGGUGGAAUGCGCAGAUAUCAGGAGGAACACCAAUAGCGAAGGCAGCUCGCUGGGACGUUACUGACACUGAGGCGCGAAAGCGUGGGGAGCGAUCCGG
rnacentral:rRNA from 1 species